UGGGGAAUAUUGGACAAUGGGCGAAAGCCUGAUCCAGCCAUGCCGCGUGUGUGAAGAAGGUCUUCGGAUUGUAAAGCACUUUAAGUUGGGAGGAAGGGCAGUAAGCGAAUACCUUGCUGUUUUGACGUUACCGACAGAAUAAGCACCGGCUAACUCUGUGCCAGCAGCCGCGGUAAUACAGAGGGUGCAAGCGUUAAUCGGAAUUACUGUGCGUAAAGCGCGCGUAGGUGGUUCGUUAAGUUGAAUGUGAAAGCCCCGGGCUCAACCUGGGAACUGCAUCCAAAACUGGCGGGCUAGAGUAGGGCAGAGGGUGGUGGAAUUUCCUGUGUAGCGGUGAAAUGCGUAGAUAUAGGAAGGAACACCAGUGGCGAAGGCGACCACCUGGGCUCAUACUGACACUGAGGUGCGAAAGCGUGGGGAGCAAACAGG
rnacentral:rRNA from 1 species